UACGGGGGGGGGGCAAGCGUUGUUCGGAAUUACUGGGCGUAAAGGGCUCGUAGGCGGCCAACUAAGUCAGACGUGAAAUCCCCAGGCUCAACCUGGGAACUGCGUCUGAUACUGGAUGGCUUGAAUCCGGGGAGAGGGAUGCAGAAUUCCAGGUGUAGCGGUGAAAUGCGUAGAUAUCUGGAGGAAUACCGGUGGCGAAGGCGGCAUCCUGGACCGGCAUUGACGCUGAGGAGCGAAAGCCAGGGGAGCAAACGGG
rnacentral:rRNA from 1 species